UACGUAGGGGGCGAGCGUUGUCCGGAAUCAUUGGGCGUAAAGAGCUCGUAGGCGGUUCAGUAAGUCGGCUGUGAAAUUCCGAGGCUCAACCUCGGAACUGCAGUCGAAACUAUUGUGACUCGAGUCCGGUAGAGGAGAAUGGAAUUUCCCGGUGUAGCGGUGAAAUGCGCAGAUAUCGGGAGGAACACCAGUAGCGAAGGCGGUUCUCUGGGCCGGUACUGACGCUGGGGAGCGAAAGCGUGGGUAGCAAACAGG
rnacentral:misc_RNA from 1 species